rnacentral:pre_miRNA from 1 species
CUGAGCAAGAUGGAGAAGCAGGGCACGUGCAAUUCUAACUCAUGAACGCACCUUGAAUGAAACCAACCCAGAGAAUCACAUGCUUUAUUUUUUCUGCUUUUCACCAACCAGAUAGAUAGUGAGUUAGUCCUUCAUGUGCCCCUCUUCCCCAUCAUGACGGC